rnacentral:rRNA from 1 species
GCACAAGCAGCGGAGCGUGUGGUUUAAUUCGAUGCUACACGAAGAACCUUACCAGGGUUUGACAUACAAGUAGUAGGGAAGGAAACUGGACGACCCUUCGGGAGCUUGUACAGGUGCUGCAUGGCUGUCGUCAGCUCGUGUCGUGAGAUGUUCGGUUAAGUCCGCUAACGAGCGCAACCCUCGCUGUGUGUUACAAGUGUCACACGGAACUGCCGGUCAUAAACCGGAGGAAGGUGGGAUGACGUCAAGUCAGCAUGGCCUUUAUAUCCUGGGCUACACACACGCUACAAUGGGAAAGGACAAUAGGUAGCGAAACCGCGAGGUGGAGCCAAUCCAGCAAAAUUCCCUCAGUUCAGAUUGCAGGCUGCAACUCGCCUGCAUGAAGUUGGAAUCGCUAGUAAUCGCGUAACAGCAUGACGCGGUGAAUACGUUCCCGGGCCUU